rnacentral:rRNA from 1 species
UACCCGCAGCACAAGUGGUGGUCAUUAUUAUUGGGCCUAAAGCGUCCGUAGCUGGCGUGUUAGAUGCCUGGGUAAAUCGAUGCGCUUAACGCAUCGAAUUCCGGGUAGACCGGCACGCUCGAGACCGGGAGAGGUAUGGGGUGCUCGGGGGGUAGGGGUAAAAUCCUGUAAUCCUCCGGGGACGACCAGUGGCGAAGGCGCCAUACUAGAACGGCUCUGACAGUGAGGGACGAAGCCCUGGGGCGCAAACCGG